rnacentral:tRNA from 1 species
GCCGCCGUAGCUCAGCCUGGUUGGAGCGCCGGACUCAUAAUCCGGAGGUCCCGGGUUCAAAUCCCGGCGGCGGCACCA